UUAUUGUUUCAUUGGUUGCACCUGUUCCUUGUUUGCUAGCCUUUAUAAGCUGCCUGUUUUCUUCUGUUCAUUGCUGAGUCUUGAUUUGUUGCCGGAGGCCAAGUUUCCUGUGUCUGUCUCUGCAUCUGAGCCUAUCACCCCUGGGUAGCACAGUGGUAGAGCGUCCCUACCACGCGGGAGACCCGGCUUCGAUUCCCAACAGAUCCUGUCAGCAAGACUCAGCCAUGGAACCAGGCUCAGCAGAGACAACUAACAGGCACCAGACCUGGACUCUGCUGUGGUGAAGCCUGACUACAAGAGGGGAUGAGACCAACAGGGCCACUCGUUCCAACGUCAGUGAAGAAACCAACAAAACCCAGUGGGCUAGAAGGGUUCUGAUUGAAGUUACUUAAUAAAGUUUCAAAAUAAUAAUAAAUACUAUUAUAUUCUUUUGUCGUUGUUUUUACCUUCAAUUGCCCUAAUACACCAUGUACCCAGGGAG
rnacentral:lncRNA from 1 species